GCUGCUUUAGUAGGUAUUCAGCUCUAUUUUCUUCACUCAUUUGAGCAUACCAACCUUGACCCCUUGGUUUUUUCUGGGCCGGUAGAGUAACAUCCGAAAAUUCAGCAAUAUUUGUGUGUGGCGUGCCUCCAUUAUCACUCUGUCCUGUCACAACAACUUCGCACACAACACAUGAGAGCAUAACUAAAUAAUGGAAAACAUCACAAAGUACUACUCCCUCCCGUCCAUAAUAAGUGCCAUAGUUUUAAACUAUAUUUGAUAAAGAAAUACGUGUGUGAAUGAACUAACCUUUUCCAUUCCUAUUUAAGCAAUCAGUAAGAGGAAUCAUUUCGACAACUCCAUCAUUCGCAACUAUAAAUUAGACAAUGUUGUACCUUAGUUCAAAACUGCGACACUUACUUUGGACUGGAGGGAAUAUUUGAUAAAGAAAAACGUGUGUGGAUGAACUAACCUUAUCCAUUCCUAUUUGAGCCAUCUGUAAGAGGAAUCAUUUUGACAACUCCAUCAUUCACAACUACAAAUUAGACAAUGAUAUUAGUUUUGAGGUUUUGUCAGACACAGAGAAUAAUCUCAACCAUGGGUCAGCAAAGUGCACAAACAUGGACCUUUUGCAAACAUGUUUGUUACAUCAGUAAAUGGAGCACGUUCGCUCCUAACCAAUCCGCUAGAUGGUGUAGAUGACUUAGUUUCAUCUUUUUUUAGCCUGGCGUGCUAUUCGUAGUUUCUUUAGGUAUUCCGCUUUCUUCUCACCGGACAGACGAGCAUACCACCCUCCACCAUUGCUAAGAUUAUUCUCCAAAUCAGUACAUGAUUCCGAAUUCUGCAACAAAUGGAUUUUGACUCUUGAUUAGCAAAUAGAGAAUAGAUAUCACCGAAGAGCACUAAAGAAGGUAUCAUAUAGGACGUUAGUUGGCUGUGAGCCCACUCGGAUUCAGAUUUGAAUAAUCCUCUCAUGGAUGGAUUUUGCAAAGUUAAAAAAAGUGAUAGUGCAAAAAAAAUUAUCACCGGUUUUCUGAGAUGGAGAACAUAAAGUAGCACUUUUGAAUUGAAAAAUCUAAUGUACUAUUGGUACACGUUAUGUCAGUUUGUUAGGUAGAUGUAACUUGGCCCCAAAGUUUGUAGAAAGCAAAGCACAUCACACUACUACCUUUUUAAUUAAUCUUUUCCAACUAUUAUUAGUAAUCACCUGCUUCUGGUUAGCACACUCCGAAACCUUUAAUAAUCAGUACAACACAUUCCGAAAGAUCUAACAAUUUGAGGGAGCUAACAAUGACAGUGACAAUUCGGUUUGAAUUUAUUUGGUCAGUACCCGCACCUUCGAAUUAUGUUGAUCGGUCCCAGUGAAUUUGAUCCCCGACUGCAUAUCUUACGUAACACGUCCACUUGCCAGCUCGCUCGUCGACGUAGCCGCUCAGGGCUGUUGAAACAUCUGGCAAAAGAUCAAUAUACAAAAUAUGUUGGAUUCAGAAUGAUAAACCAAUUCAUAAAGGAGCGGGAGCACACGUACGCAAAGCUUCGCUUAAACAAGCAGAGAGGCGGGUUAAUUGAUAUAUUGUAGACAGGGCCGGUACUGAGAAUUCAGGGCCCUGGGGCCCUUCGAGGCUCGUAGUAUAAAUGUGUAAUAGUAAUUAACAUACAUAGGAGACAUGCUCGAGAUCUAACAAUUAGAGGGGAAAGAAGGUUCAUUUAAUAAACACACAAAUAAAAGCAAACACCUCAAUGCAUACUGAGCAAGCUGAUUAAGGAUAUCCGACUGUACCACAGCGACAGCAUUGCCAAGCAAGGAUUCAAGACCAGCUGCGCCAUCGGCCAGUCUCCAUAGGCUGAGGCCAAGAUAUUGCAGCGCGCAUGCACCAUAGUAAGUACGAACUACGGCCUUUAAACAAUAAGGCCGUGGCAUAUGCUACAUGAAAUUAGCAUGUACGAGUAGUUUAAUUGGAAUUAUCAUCAAGUUCGGCAGACCACGCGGCAAGCGUGGUAAAAGCAAUCACAAGUUGACAAAAAAAAUCAUCAAGUUCGGCAGCAAGUAGGCAGUAGGAAUCAAUUGUAAGUAUGGGGCUCUGCUCGUACCACAGUACCACGUACGAACCAGCUGCACCGAUCUUAAUUACUAUUGUUCCGCUUGCGGCGUCCCAUCUUAACUGGAUGGAGAUUACGUGCGUCACUACUAGGAAAAGGCCUACUAAUGGCGCACCGGUUUUGCCUACUAAUGCCGCACUACCGGUGCGCCAUUAGUAGCACGCCACUAGAAUUUUUUACUAAUGGCGCACCACUGGUGCGCUAUUAGUAUCUGGUAUACUAAUGGCGCACCAAGCAGUGCGCCAUUAGUAUGUAACACCAUGCGCCAUUAGUAUGCCUCCCGGGGGGCCAUAUGUAACCAUGUGCUUUGCCAUACUAAUGGCGCACUCUGCCUUGAUGCGCCAUUAGUAUCCUUUGGCAUACUAAUGGUGCACUCUGCCUUGAUGCGCCAUUAGUAUGAAUAUUUGGUUUUUUUUGCUUUUCUGAUUUUUGCAGAGGUUACAAAAUAUAUUAUUGGACAGAAUAUAGAAAUCAGCACACAGCAACAGCAGAUUCAUCGAAUACAAUAGAAGCUUAGUCUCCGAAUACAAUUCAUCAUAUUAGUCUCCGAAUUCAAAAGACCGAACAAAGAUAAAACAUUACAAGUCUCAAGACCGCGAGUAUCGAGUUUGUCUUCACAUUACAAGUCGAUAUCGAUCAUCUAAACUACCAUCACAUAAAAGAGAGUUGUGGUCAUCAUGAUGAGCAUCAUCGCGAUCAAACUGGUCUUCAUCCGGUUCCUCCAACGCUCCCUCCUCUCUCCCGCUAGAUAGCGGGCAUAUCUAGAUUCGACCUCCGCCCUAGUGGUGUACCCUUUGUAACUGUUACCGCUGAAACGGUGAACCUGUCUCCGACACUCCUCCCAGUCAUCGUAGACUCCGGGAACCUUACCCUUGUACACGACAUAUGACGACAUCUCUAUGCACAAGCCAAACAACAGACAACAGACAAUACAUAAGCAAUAUGUAAGUAUGCAACAAAAGGAUCGGAAGAGAAAAGCAAGACAUUAAUAGCACGAUUCAUGAUCCUACGAAUAAAUAGCAUUGAUUACAUCUAAGUUGAAUGACUGUCCAAACCAAAGAGACAUACGAAUUCAUUAAAGUUUAAUUACAACAUGAGCCAAUCAAUGUUUCAGAACUACACAUCACUACUUUCGACUCGACUCAUCGGACAGGAGCGUGGAUGAAGCAGUCGUCUGUCGUGAUGGUCAUGAAAUCGCGGUCGUUGUCACCCUGCAUUUGUAGCAUUCCAUCUAUCUCAUUGUUGGACGGUUGAUAUCUGAGGUAGAACUGCCCCGAGGUAUGAAGGACAUCUUGAUGGAUGAUGUCUGCAAACUCCGACUAGAUGCGAAAGAAUUCUUGUCUAAUGUCCGCGUCCUGGGUUGCCGACAACCUCGCGGCCCAAUCUUUGAGACUAUCUGGUAGCAGAAGUUGAUGAUGGUCCCUUACGAUCGCCCGCAUGUGAUGGAGGGCGUAGUAGGCAUCAUUCUGACCGCCAGGCGGCUGCUUGACGCAGCAGAAAUUCGUAUUGUGUGAGAAGGUGUGCUUGCCAUACUUACGAACUGCCCUGGUGAAGGUGCCUCCAGAUUUGGCGUAGCCUGGGAGAACAUCAUCAAGAACUUUCUUGACAUUUGUGUAGUCUAUCUUGGAGUUACGGUUCGGGUUGAAAUACGUGGCCAUGGAAUAUUUCAGGCUUAAGAGGAUGAGUGUGCAAUGUGUGUCACUUCACAGAACACGGAAUGUUAGAAAAAAAAGAAUGAUCGAAAUCUAAGAAAUCAUAUGUUACGGGGCGGUUAAGGGAUGACUUACUCGGGAAAGUAAGCCACAAGGAAGUUAUCCUUAUCUGGGUUUGCCAGAAUGACGCCUUCGAGGUGUGAACUCGCAACUUGGCGGUCCCCAGCGCUGCUCAAGUGAUUGGCACGCAUGUAGAAGGGGUCGACUAUCACGAUGCCCGGGGUCUUGUCUCUAAUGAUCCACAUCUCCAUACUCAGCGAAAAUAGCCAAACGAAGGUGUAGUGCAGCGGAUGAAGGUUAAACAUAGCAAAGAUGUCAUCAAACCGCGGGACGAUCGUACCCCCGAUGUCACCAUCCACAAAGCCCUUGCCCUCUGGCACCUUGGCCACGAAAACUGGGUAUGCCACAUCAUUCUCUCUGAGACUCCGCUUCUCCAAAGAAAGAACACUGUCGUGCAGACUUCGCAUAGCACCGGUUGCAGCAUUCAGCAUAUUUGGCGGUAGCAUCGCCCUACCCGCCACAUGCACCCUCCUCGAGAUAUCCUUAGGUGAAGGUGGCCCGUCCUGAGCACGGAUCAAACUCGGUGCCGGCUGGCUCGCACCGGCGCCCUUGUUAGUCUUUCGCUUCCGUCCCUUCUUCUUGAUCUCCUGUAAUGGGACCGAGUUUUGCUCACAGACCGCCUUCUUGAGCGUGUUCGGGCUGAUAAUAUUUCGCACCUCAGCUAUCUGAGGCUCGGUGAAGGCGGGAGCUGGAGGCGUGUCCUGAGAACUGAACGCCAGACGACCCCUGUUGCAAUUGGAUUUCUCCGCCGUACCAGCUAGAUCGUGGGCAUCUUGGUUGGGUUCUUGAGAAAGAGGCCCGCAGAACUCGUCAGUGUACCCAUGUUCGGCAAAGUACUUAUCAACUUUGGUAAAUGUACCAUCGUCGUUGUCGUCGCCGUCCAGAUCCUGUGCCAUCGGGAUGUCCGGAUCCUGUGCCAUAAGGAUGUCCGGCAGGUCCAGUAGCGUUGCGGCGUUCUUGCCAAUGCUUGGCGCCGGCACGACUGGUGGUCUUGUUUGUGGGGUGGUGUCCCCCGCCCCCAAACGAAUCUGGCUCUUCGGCCAAAGCAGGGGCUAGUUUACACAGGCGCUGAGGGUCAUCUCAUCUUCUUCAUCGGCCCCAGCGGGUCGAAUCGGAGGUAACAACUCGUCGCAUCCUGGCAGCACCCGAACCACUUCAACCCUAUACACUGUGGGUGCCACCAGAUUACCGUGGAACAUGCGGUUGCCCGGUUGAACGAUUAUGCCCUUGGCGACAUCGACCAACUCGGCGCCCAUGAAGUGCAGAAGAGUGCAAGGAACAUCGGCGUGCCCUGCGAAAACAUGUACAGGGCAUCAGGGAUGCCCAGUCAAAGGCAAGGAGAUGAAGUCAUCUGCCGAGAGGCUUAGUUACCGUGAUGCUGUCGAGCUCGGCUAAUGUCGAGGCACCACCAACGGCGGGCGCGCAACUGACGGAGGGGGCGCUUGCUGGCGAGGUGCCGGUCGGCUUACACCCGGGUGCAUUAAGCUCCAAUGCCCGUGCCGGCGCCGGAGACACGAAUACCGCCUCCGCCGGAGACACCAAUGGCGCCGCCGGAGACACCAAUGGCGCUGCCUGCGCGCUGUGCGAGUUGCUGGCCGUGAAGCUGGGAACCGGGGGAGGCCCCCGUUGGCCGCCUGCAAUCCACGUCGUCAGCCCAUGAAUAAACCUAGGCACCAUGGCGUUGAGCUUCGUUCCCAGUUGUUGUUCCACUUGCUCUUGGAUAAGCUCCGGAAUCCACGCCACUUCUGCCUUGAGUUCUUCAACCUCGCGCGUCUGGCUUUCCGAGCUGGUCUUUUUCUCCUUCCGCACACCAGCGGUAUAGUAUGACCCCCAUUUUCUGGACAAGCCUUUGCCGGCCACACGACCAGCUGACGUCGGCUUAGUGAGCUUAUCCUUCUUUUUCAUUAUGUUCAACGCCCUAUUUAAAGGGGUGUCGAAAGGGGAGCUCUGAGACGACCCCGCGCUACUGCUUUCAGUGUCCUGCGAAAGGAACGUGAACCAUUUAGAAAUAUUGGUGAUUAAUUUGAGUGCAACCAUAUGGAGCUAAUUACGCAGGGGUGUAUUCCUUACCAGAACAAGCUCAAGCGCCCUGGUCUUUGGAUCCGUGGUAAGCUCCUUUGUUAUUGGGUCCUCCUUGUACCGGGCCCAGACAUAGUUCCUGGUCUGCUUGUUACCGCUGUAUUUCUCGAAGCGGGGCGGUAGGCCUUGCUCGGCACGCUCCGCGUCCUCCUUGUCCCAUAUAGGCUCCGCCACUCUGUAACCGUCGGGACCGAGUUUGUGUUCCCCUAAGUUGAACUCCCGCAUUUCUUUCCCCCACUGACUUGAUUCGGAGGUUGCACUGCUCUCGCACUUGAUCUUGAACUCCUUGUACUCAUCUUUGCUCAUCAAAGGAUAUUUCGCCUUGAUCUUCUCAUAACUAUCACCUCUAUCAAUCAUUCUCUUCACCGCGCUUCUCCAAGUAGACAGGGCCGUGCUCAUCUUCGUGAGGGCGGCACUGUUCACUUUAUUCCCUGAGAGGCGUGUGUUAUCAAAUUCGGUGCGGAACUUGUAUCGUUCGUGCAGCUUUGUGAAGAGGAGGUUGCGCAAAUUCCCUUGGUCCUUAUGCCUAGGGUUCUCGGUGUUGAUCGAGACGGUGCUCCGGAGAAUGCACCCGAGCAGAACCGAGUUCCCCUUGACUAUAUGUUUGGGCUCCGUUGGAUUCCCGUCGGAGUCCACUUGAGUGAAUUCCUCCUUGAGGGUGCGGAGCGCAUUCGGGCAUCGGUCCUUCCUUUGCUUCUUCCGUUGGCUGCCAUCUGUGUGUGCACGGCCAUCAUCAGUGGUGGCAUCCUCGGCAGCACCAUCAGUGGUGUCAUCCCCGACGCCACUAGGGGUUGUGUAAUCAGGAUCAGUGUUUUCCGCGGCGUCCUCAUAGCGGUGAGGUUGUUCCUCCAUCUCCUGGGACAGCUCCCAGAAUUGCUUGCCGCCCGAACCACCGGCCUCAUCGUUGUGGGCCAUGUUUCUCUCUAAAUAGGAAAAACGUUUGGUCAAAAAGUUGGUUAUUGUCAAGGAACAAGAUCAUGGUCUCAUCAUUUAGGGUUUGUCGACACCGAGGCACCCUAAAAGCCUAAGCUUUCAUCAUUUAGGGUUUGUCGACGCCGAGGCACCCUAAAAGCCUAAGCAUACAUCAUUUAGGUUCUCAUCGACACCGAGGCAUCUGGGGCAGCCAAGUUAAGUUUUCAUCAUUUAGGGUUUAUCGAUGCCGAGGCACCCUAGGUUGGGCCUAAUCACUUGGCACUAAUCACUUGGCUCUAUUGCCACCUAUGUUGGGUUUAUCAUCUAGGGUUUAUCGAUGCUAAGGAGAAUUCUAAGUUGGGCACAAUCACUUGGCUCUAUUGCCACCUAUGAUUUAAUGCAGCAAGAAUAAAGGGGUAGUUGAUCCUACUUAAUUAAGUACUAAGAUACCCCGGCCCAUGCAUUAGUCGCAAGUACCCCAUAUGUCCUAUUUGUAGCAAAGUCAUGCUAAAAUUCACGGAAAAUUUCAGCAUGACCUUUGCUGAAAAUAGGACAUAUGGAGUACCCGAAUUUGCCAGAACGGAAGUUAAUCAACAUUCCGGCAAACUCAAGGGCCUCUCGGGGUACCUGCAAAUUCAUCACGACACGAUGGUCGGAGACAAAACCCAGCAAACUAGCACCACAAUGUGCCUCUACUUUCAUAUGGAUGAAAAGGCCAUAGACCAUAUGGUCCUUUGCUUUCAUAUGGACAAAAAUCAGUUCAACUUAUGUGAGCUUCCAUUCUAGAUCUAAUAGCAGCAAGUUGUUCACUUGUAGCUGAACUUAUGUGAGCUGCCUUCAAGAAAAGAAAUCUACAGUGGCACAUCUGCUCUCUGAAUACAUUGGCAAGAAACAAAACAACACCUAGUACCAUCCAUCUGCUAUGGCCGUAUCAUGCAGUUUAACUAAGCACUAACAGGUAAUUAUAUAACUGAAAACUUGGCGCGUACGUUUCACUUAGCUUGGGCAAGCAACAUACCUCGUCCUCUUGGUUAGUCCAAACAAGCUGUAUGCUGAGCCUCAACUCACCACCUGCACAUUUUACAGCACCCAUGAAAUGAAAAACUAAACAUAAUUGUCAACCAACAAAACCAAAACACAAACAGGACUGCAAAUUUUCACGAUCAGGAAGAAAAACAGGGUUUUCAACUACUAUAUUCAGUUUCAUGGCAUCAGUUGAACAGUUGAAAAAGAACAAGCUUCAUUUAAAUAUCUUGCUGCUAACAAACAUAACUAAUGUCAGUACUCAAAAAAUAGAGUGAUCACAUAGGGAACAAACAAACUAUUCACUUUUUAUUUCUUCAGAAUUGGACCAGACAGAGAACAACUCCUUGGAAGCAAACUGAAACCAUGCUGAAACUAUACUGAAACCAUGCUGAAACUUUACUGAAACUACUCCUUGCAAUCAAACUAAAACUACUCCUUGGAAGCAAAUUGUCUUGGAAGGAGUAUUGUGUGCACAAAUCUACUCCAACUAGUUGCUUUCACAUAGAAAUUGUUAGCACAAACGGAAUGAGUCAUUCUUCAGACCGUUACAAAAAGAAACAAUGGCAACCAAGGUUAAAAACCAACAAUCCUAUAUAUUAUUCUGAAACUUGAUAUAUUGAAAUCACUUAGCACUCUCUUUAUGUGUUCAUUCAACACUUAAAAUUGAGGAAAAUAAUACCAACUAGGAUCGGUAUGACCUUCGUUUUUCAUUUUCUGUAUGAUCAAUUAAAUCUUCUGCAAGCUUAUAUGAAAAGGUUCAGCAACUUGAAACAUAACUCUUGCUUGGUGUUCCAAAUCAUUUCAUUUAUAUUUUCAAUAACAGUAGGAAUUAUUUCAUAAUAGAAUUUACCCGAUGGGGGCGACGGGUGCAUGCGACCGAGGGGGGAACGGGUGGGGGUGGAGGAGGCUCACCACUAUUGCAAACCAAACAAGUAAGCAGAGCACAUGUAUAUACCUGUAUCACUGUCUUGGAGCCAACAAACGCCUCAGUUUUUCUCCAACCGUGAUGGAACCUGUUACGCGGAAACACAAACAGAGAGAUACAUGUAACUAACGAGGACAGACGGACAAGGUAACAAGAACUCCACAGCUCAAUUAAGCCUAUGCUUCUUCUUUCACUCUCCUGCAUAAAGUUAUUGUUAUACCUGGGAGGGAUUAUAUGCUUGUUUACCACUACUAAUACCAUUUUUAAUAUAAUCUUCAUUCUCCUGCUUUUUCUUUUCUUACAAGUGUUGAUGCCAAAACAUUGCAACCCUGUAGUUCAAGAUCAGAGUCAAAAUUGACCUACACGAUUGUUUACCACUACUAAGACAUGGAUCUAAUAGCUAUCUCCCCCUUGUUCCUCAUGCCUUAGUUGAAUUCAGAGAAGAGAGAGCUCAGAUCCUAGAACAAGGAUCUCUCUAGAAGAUAUGUGUUAACCAAUUUCGGCCAGUAUAACCAACACAAAGCUCCUACUCUCUCAAAUUGCAGAUAAAACAACUUAAUCUACAAUUUGCUAACAUGUUUAAACCAAAACAUUUGCUCAUGAAAAAUAUUCAACCUACAGUUUGUAAACAUUUGCCCUUAGAGGCAUUAUCACAAACACCUAUCAAGCACAAUCCUCUAAAAUCACGGAGCAAGCAAGAAAUAACUAUCAUUAUAUUCCUACAGCAUCAAAUCUACAUCAAGUACUCAUCCACUAAAAAAAUCAGGAAAAAAAUGGAACAGAGGAUGCAAGAGGAAGGAGGGAGGGGGGAUGAGGGAAGAGGGAGGAAGGACGAAGGAGUGGUGGCUACCUGCCUACGGACUGGUCGCCGGCGUAGCUCCAGGCGGCAGUGUUGCUGGGCAGGAGCGCCUGCUCCAGGGAGGGGGGCGCCGCUGGUGGGAGCGGCUGCUUGAUGGGGGGAGGCGCUGCUGGGGUCCUGUACCGGAGGCGGGGCAGCGGAGGGUUCGACCGGCUGGGCGNNNNNNNNNNNNNNNNNNNNNNNNNNNNNNNNNNNNNNNNNNNNNNNNNNNNNNNNNNNNNNNNNNNNNNNNNNNNNNNNNNNNNNNNNNNNNNNNNNNNNNNNNNNNNNNNNNNNNNNNNNNNNNNNNNNNNNNNNNNNNNNNNNNNNNNNNNNNNNNNNNNNNNNNNNNNNNNNNNNNNNNNNNNNNNNNNNNNNNNNNNNNNNNNNNNNNNNNNNNNNNNNNNNNNNNNNNNNNNNNNNNNNNNNNNNNNNNNNNNNNNNNNNNNNNNNNNNNNNNNNNNNNNNNNNNNNNNNNNNNNNNNNNNNNNNNNNNNNNNNNNNNNNNNNNNNNNNNNNNNNNNNNNNNNNNNNNNNNNNNNNNNNNNNNNNNNNNNNNNNNNNNNNNNNNNNNNNNNNNNNNNNNNNNNNNNNNGGCGGUGGCUAGGAACCCUAACUGUCGCGCUCAGGAAGGAGGUUGACGCGGGCGGGGCCGCGGGGGGAGGGGGACGGCGAGGGCGCGGGCGCGGGCGGAGGGGGACGGUGAGGGAGGUGGUGCUCAGCUCGAGGAGGGGGCAUUGGAAGCGAGCACGGCCAGGGACGAUGAGCACGGGGGAAGUGGUGGUCGGUGGUGGUCAGGCGCGGGUGAGAUGAGGCAGGGGAGGGAUUGGGGAUUUUAGUGUGGGGGGAGGCUUAGCAAUGGCGCACCACCCAGGGGUGCGCCAUAAGUACAUCCAUAGCAAUGGCACACCACCGAGGGGUGCGCCAUAAGUAAUUUAAUCUAGCCCGACUUGUCAGGUUAUAUACCACCUAACCCUAUCUACAACAGAACCCGCCCACUAGCCCGAGUGGUCAGUACGCAGCACACACACCAGGAGGUCCUGGGUUCGAUUCCCAGGCUCCCCAAUAUUUUUUAUGCAUUUUAAAUCCUGUUUGAUAUUUAUUUGUGUUUAAAUAUGUUCAAACUUGUUUAAAUCAUAACAGUAAUAUAUUUUUAUAAAAACAUUAAUAAUUUUUUUAAAAAUAUGUUCAAAUUUGUUACUUGAAAAUAUCAUCGUCGNNNNNNNNNNNNNNNNNNNNNNNNNNNNNNNNNNNNNNNNNNNNNNNNNNNNNNNNNNNNNNNNNNNNNNNNNNNNNNNNNNNNNNNNNNNNNNNNNNNNNNNNNNNNNNNNNNNNNNNNNNNNNNNNNNNNNNNNNNNNNNNNNNNNNNNNNNNNNNNNNNNNNNNNNNNNNNNNNNNNNNNNNNNNNNNNNNNNNNNNNNNNNNNNNNNNNNNNNNNNNNNNNNNNNNNNNNNNNNNNNNNNNNNNNNNNNNNNNNNNNNNNNNNNNNNNNNNNNNNNNNNNNNNNNNNNNNNNNNNNNNNNNNNNNNNNNNNNNNCCGGGUGCUCGUCGGUGGUGGUGGAGCGGGGGAGGGUUGCGGUGGGUCGUCGACAGCGGUGGAGCUAGUGGGGGAGGGUGCGGAUGGGAUCGAGAUCGAGAUGGAGGGGGAAUCGAGAUCAAGAUGGAGGGGGAUUGAGAUCAAGUGUCCUCAUGAAUUCAAAAAGUGCCCAUGAAAUUUAAAAAUAUUCAUGAUAUCAAAAAGUGCCCAUGAAAUACAAUCGAGAAAUGAAGACUACGAUUUAAAUACAAUCGAUCUUAGCUAGCUAUCUGUUCACAAUCUUCUUGCCCUUCUUUUUCGCAAAUGGAGUUCUUCUGUGGAACAGACGUCCUUUAGGUAGGGUGGUCCUGCUUCUUCUUGUGGUGUGUGCUGCUACUUCAUCGUCGUUGUCAUGUUCGAUCUUCGGGUCGCCGUACUUGUCGAAGUCUUGCUCAUUGGCUACUCCAUCUAUUCUGAUGAUCUGCCUUUUGCCUCUCCUCACGACAACAUGACUGGGCUUUGACGGGUCGGUAAUGAAGAAGCAUUGGUCCACUUGGGAAGCCAGUACCCAUGGCUCAUUUUUCGUGGUGACGUUUGCGCCCGCGGUCUUGGAUUUAGCUUCGGGUAUAACCAUGGUGGUGAAAUACCGGUCUUCUUUUAGGACGCUCUUGGCCCAUCUGACACGGAACAUCGGGACCUUCUCUCCAGCGUAGCUCAGCUCCCAGAUCUCCUCGAUCCUUUUGUAGUAUCUGUCCUUGUCAUUGCCGGUGUAGGAUUCCAUUGUUACCCCGGAGUUCUGAUAACCAUCGCUCUUCAUGUCCUUGUUCUCGGUGUAGAAUGUGUAGCCGUUGAUAUCGUACGCCUCAUAGGGAAUCAGGUUGUGCUCGGUGCCCUGUGACAAGGCGAAUAUGAGUUGUUCUUCCGCGGAAGAAUCCUCAUGUAAAGGGUACAACAGAAGCUUCUGCUUGAACCAACGCAUGAAACAUGAGUUCUGCUCUUUGAUUAUAUCUCCGUCCAUCCUCUGUUGGCCUCGGUCAUUGCACGUCUUCUCAAUAAAGGUUUUGUGCUCUACCACCCAAGGAUUGACCAUGUCUAUGUGUUGUAGCGCGACUAGGUUUGCUCUUUCAAAGUCGGCGAGUCGACCCUCGAAGUCGACAUGCAUUUCGCGGCGACCCUCGCGGUGACCCCAUCCAGCGAGCCUGCCGAGGUGCCUGUUGACGGGCAGACCAACAGGGUUCUCGACGCCUAGAUAAUUCGUGCAGUAGGAGAUGCACUCUUUGGUCAGAAAGCCACUGGCUAUACUUCCCUCUGGACGUGACAUGUUUCGAACGUAUCCUUUGAUGACACCAUUCAUCCUUUCAAACGGCAUCAUGCUGUGCAGGAACGUCGGCCCGAGUUGGAUGAUAUCCUCCACGAUAUGGACCAGCAGAUGCACCAUAACAUCGAAGAAUGCGAGCGGGAAGUACAACUCAAGCUCGCAUAGUAUCACCACGAUCUCUUCCUGUAGCCUUCUGAGUUGCCUCAUGCCAAUGGACUUCCGAGAGAUGACGUCGAAAAAGUUGCAUAGGCCAAAUAGCAUUUCACGGAUGUGCGCGUCCAUGAUCCCACGGAUUGCAACUGGAAGUAUCCGCGUCAUCAGCACGUGACAGUCGUGAGACUUCAUCCCGCUGAACUUCUGCUUCGCUGGGUUUAGGUAUCUGCUUAUCUUCCCCGCGUAACCGUAAGGAAGUUUUACUCCUAGGAGGCAGGUGAAAAACUGCUCGAUCUCCUCCUGACUUAGAGUGAAGCACACAGGAGGGUAGUCAUUUCCGGUCUUGUUGGCCUUUUUGCCUUUGCGACGACUUUCUGUGUCCUGCUUCGCCUCAUCAUCAUCAUCAUCAUCAUCAUCAUCAUCAUCAUUAGCGUGAAGCUCCUGCCUGAUGCCCAUUGAUUUCAUGUCUGCCCUUGCUUUCAGCCCAUCUUUGGUCCUCUCUGGCUUGUUGAGCAGGGUACCAAGCAGACUCUUGCACACGUUCUUCGUGAUAUGCAUGACAUCAAGGCUGUGAGGCACAUGGUGGAUCUUCCAGUAUGGCAAGUCCCAGAAAACAGACCUCGUUUUCCAAACCUUCAGCAGCGGCUCUGGCGCCUUUCGCUUCUUUCCCGGCUCUGGCGCCUUUUGUUUCUUUCCUGGCAGUGGGCAGUCUUCCCAAUUUUUCAACAGCUCGUCUAUUUCCUCACCGCUCCUCGUACACGGGCAUUUUCAGGGUUCGGUUUCACCAUCGAACAGAUCCUUGCGUUUCCUCCACUGGUCAUCAUCGCGAAGCCACCUUCAAUGUCCCAUGAGCACGGUUUUCGAAGACCCGGGAUAUCUAUCUAGCUGGCGAUACGUUGUGUCAUCCAUGCACCUUAUGCAUCCAGAAAAUCCGUGGACUACCUGCCCCGCGAGAUAUCCGUAACCGAGAUAGUCGUGCACCGUCGUGAGCAGUGCGGCUCUCAUAGGGAAAUAUUCUUUCUUUGCAGCGUCCCACGUAUUGGCUGGCGUUUUCCACAGCGUGUCUAGCUCCUCCUUCAGCAGCCCCAGAUACAGAUUGAUGUCGUUCCCUGGUUGUUUCGGCCCUUCAAUUAGCAUACUCAUGUGAAUGUACUCCCUCUUCAUGCACAACCAGGGGAGAAGGUUGUCCAUCCACACAAACACAGGCCAAGUGCUAUGUGUGCUUCUCUGGCUGCCAAACGGAUUGACUCAUCGGUGCUCGCGCCCAGCACGAUGUUCCUUGGAUCCUUCCCAAAUUCUGGGUAUUCGAAGUUCAACGCUUGCCACUGGCUCACAUCCUUCGGGUGACUCAGCAUCUUGUCUUUUUUAUUUAUCUCCGGAUCAUUUCCGUCAUCUUCCCGCUUCUUCUCCUCCCUAUCCGCGUGCCAACGCAGGAGCUUUGCUACCUUAGGGUCCGCGAAAUACCGCUGUAGACGAGGAGUGAUCGGAAAGUACCACACUGAUUUUCGAGGAGCUUUCUUCCUCUUCUUGUAUCGAGUGACGCCGCACACCGGACAUAUGGUAGACUCCGCGUGCUCGUCCCAAUAAAUGAUGCAAUUGUUCAUGCACACAUGGUAUUUCAUGUGCGGUAAAUCCAUAGGACACACGAUUUUCUUCGCCUCCUCGAAACUGGUCGGGCACUUGUUCCCCUUGGGAAGACGUUCGUGCCAGAAUGACAUGUUCUCGUCGAAGCAUGCGUCGGUCAUUUUGUGUUUUACCUUCAUCUCCAGAGCCAUGAGCGUUACUUUUAGGCGGGUAUCCUCGGGCAUGCAUCCUUCAUACAAUGGACUAACCGCGUCUAUCUCCAGUUGAUCCAGCUUGGCUUUCUCUUAGGCGGCAGCUCUUGCGUUAUCCGUCUGCUUGAGAAGCAGCUCUUGAAUAUGAGGGUCCUGCACCCAGCCUCCAUCGUCGUUUGCUCCGGCAUCUUCAUCUUCAUGAUCAUGCCCUUCGUCUUGAUCUUCCUCAUCAUCAUGUACGACAUCUUCUACAUGAUGACUGUGUACAGCAUCACCGCCGUGAUCAUGUCCUGGAGAUUCUUCGUCUUCUCGCCCACCCUCGCCGUGGUGGUACUUGUCUUGUUGCCCUUCCUCAUUUCUUGCCCGCCCCCCAUGGACGACUUCAUAGUUAUCUUCAUCACCUUGCAAGAGCAGGUGGUCCCGCACCUGCCCGGAAUCCGGGUCCGCAAUAAGGCUCUUCAGCUUGCAUCUUCGACAUGGACAUCUUAUCUCCGUCUCGUUCUUUUGAAGCAUCUCGGCCUUCACAGAGCUCAAAAACCUAUUCACGAUGCCUUCGGUCAUCGUGCGGACCAUGGUGGCCUGCGGGGUAGAGCAAAACGAUAUUUUAGAACCAAGAAAAAAUUUGGCAUGACCUUCCCUAAAAAUAAGACCAAAAAGAAUGCAUAGUGCCAAAGUUCUCGCCGAAACAGAAAUGAAUCAACAUUCCGGCAAAAUUUUGGCAACUAUCGCAUUUCAAAUACCGGUACCUGCAAACACAAACAUAUAUGCAACACCACAAACACAUGCAACACCACAAACAUACAUAGAUCUAGCUAGGCCACAAAAAGUGCAUGUGCACGUUGUUGGAGCGAGCUAGGGAGAAAAAAAGUAGAUCUACAUCAUGAAGAUAGCUUUCCCCUUACUUACCUAUCAAAAAAGAUAAUUUCACCACUUAAUUUUGAUGAAUCUAUGGUGGAAAUGAGGUGAGGAGGAGGAGGCAGCCGAAAGCUUGGAGAAGGAGGUGGAGGGAAUGAAGUGGGGAAAGUGAGUGGGUAGGUAUGUGGCUGUCCAAAAUAUCUUGUUGGGGUCCCAGGUUACUAAUGGCGCACCACCAGCAAAUGCGCCAUUAGUAACCCAGGUUACUAAUGGUGCACCUGCAGGUGGUGCGCCAUUAGUAGUUUUGCAGAAAAGUAAAAAAAAUAUAUAUACUAAUGGCGCACUGUGGAAAAGUGCGCCAUUAGUAGUUUAAACUAGUAAUGGCGCACUGUGGCACGGUGCGCCAUUAGUAGUUUUGCAAAAAAGUAAAAUAUAUAUAUAUAUAUACUAAUGGCGCACUGCCUACCAGGUGCGCCAUUACUAGUUAGAGCUAGUAAUGGCGCACUACGACCCGAUGCGCCAUUAGUAUGUAUGGAAAAAUGAAAAAAAAUUAAUACUAGUGGCGCACCGAGUGUACGGUGCGCCAUUAGUGUCUUCCACGCUAAUGGCGCAUCAACAACCGGUGCGCCAUUAGUAUAUAGUAGUGGCGCACUGCUUACCUGGUGCGCCAUUAGUAUCAAUCCUAUCUAUAGCCCUUUUCCUAGUAGUGCGUGGUGUACGAAUUUGCAGGCCCGGAUCGAUCAGGUGGAUCCUUAGCAGGAGGUAUGUCCAAUCUCCCCGCAUCGAGCAGGCGUUUAAAUGGAGUUGCGAUGGGAUCAAGCUUUAAUUACUUGACUGGCGCUGAUCAUUCAUUUUGUUCCAUGAAAAUGGAUUUGAUCAAGGAUGAAUUGAUGGUCGAUCUCUGAACCCCACUUCCAGACAAGUUUGAGUAAUUAACAGUACAUGCAAAGGCAUAGGGCGCUUGGCGUGACUGUGUAAGGACACAUGCUCGUACCUGUCUUGGCUGCGUAGCGCUGCAGGCCCACGUCGCCGUUGUUCCUCCGGACGAGAAGACCGGGAGAGUCAAACCAAAGUCGAGCCGUCGAAGACGAUGAACACUCAAACAAGUGAACGAAAAGAAGGAAUUGACGGAAGUCAAGAACGAUGGGAAUCAAGGUCAGGGUCCGAACAAACAGGGAAACAAGUGAUUUGGUUUCCAAGUUAUUCUCUGCCUACAUGCGAACGUGGCCAGGCCUUUUUCUUUUUUCCUUCUAUGUACGCAGUACACAAGGCUGGGUUUCAAAAAAAAUGAUGGCGUAGAUCAUGAUAAUUACUGCUAAUUGAUAUCUUCCUUCUAUGUACGCAACACCCAAGGUUGAGUUUAAAAAAAAUGAUGGCAUAGAUCAUGGUAAUUCUUGCUAAUUGAUAUGAUUAAAAUAGGCCCAGGUUGGAGCGAGGUCGUGGUAAUUAUUGCAUAAUUAUGAUGGCAUCGAUCAUGGUAAUUAUUGCUAAUUGAAUAUGGUAAAUGAUGUGAUACAACAUUAAGGCAAUCUGGUCCAUUGAGAGAUGUGGGAUGUGUGGCUGAGAUGUAAUUUCAACAAGAAGAAUUAUAUAUAUUUAUAGCUAUACAACAAUAUAGAGUUGCGGGUGAUACCAGGUGUUACAAGCGCUGCGGCCGAGUCAUUGUUUUCCGAGUUAGCCGUGUCUCGUUUCUUUGACGUGCCUGUGGCUGCUUAAAUAGGUAUUCGGCUCUCUUUUCUUCACUCAUUCGAGCAUACCAACCUUGAACCCUUGGUUUUUUCUGGGCCGGUAGAGUAACAUCCGAAAAUUCAGCAAUUUUUGUGUGUGGCGUGCCUCCGUUAUCACUCUGCCCUGUCACAACAACUUCGCACACAACACAUCAGAGCAUAACUGAAUAAUGGAAAACAUCACAAAGUACUACUCCCUCCCGUCCAUAAUAAGUUUCACAGUUUUAAAUUAUAUUUGAUAAAGAAAUACGUGUGUGAAUGAACUAACCUUUUGCAUUCCUAUUUAAGCCAUCAGUAAGAGGAAUCAUUUUGACAACUCCAUCAUUCGCAACUAUAAAUUAGACAAUGUUGUACCUUAGUUUAAAACUGUGACACUUACUUUGGACCGGAGGGAAUAUUUGAUAAAGAAAAACGUGUGUGGAUGAACUCACCUUUUCCAUUCCUAUUUGAGCCAUCUGUAAGAGGAAUCAUUUUGACAACUCCAUCAUUCACAGCUACAAAUUAGACAAUGAUAUCAGUUUUGAGGUUUUGUCAGACACAGAGAAUAAUCUCAGCCAUGGGUCAGCAAAGUGCACAAACAUGGACCUUUUGCAAACGUGUUUGUUACAUCAGUAAAUGGAGCACGUUCGCUCCUAACCAAUCCGCUAGAUGGUGUAGAUGACUUAG
rnacentral:lncRNA from 1 species